rnacentral:tRNA from 1 species
GCCGGGGUGGUGGAAUUGGUAUUCACGCCGGUCUCAAAAACCGGUGAUCGAAAGAUCGUGAGGGUUCGAGUCCCUCUCCCGGCA